GACGAACGCUGGCGGCGUGCUUAACACAUGCAAGUCGAACGGUGACCCAGGGCUUGCCCUGGUGAUCAGUGGCGAACGGUGAGUAACACGUGGGCAACCUGCCCCUGACUUCGGGAUAACUCCUCGAAAGAGGAGCUAAUACCGGAUACGACCACUUCGGACAUCCGAUGGUGGUGGAAAGUUUUUCGGUCAGGGAUGGGCCCGCGGCCUAUCAGCUAGUUGGUGGGGUAAUGGCCUACCAAGGCGACGACGGGUAGCCGGCCUGAGAGGGCGACCGGCCACACUGGGACUGGGACACGGCCCAGACUCCUACGGGAGGCAGCAGUGGGGAAUAUUGCGCAAUGGGCGAAAGCCUGACGCAGCGACGCCGCGUGAGGGAUGAAGGCC
rnacentral:rRNA from 1 species